rnacentral:rRNA from 1 species
AGUGAACGCUGGCGGUAGGCCUAACACAUGCAAGUCGAACGGCAGCACAGUAAGAGCUUGCUCUUACGGGUGGCGAGUGGCGGACGGGUGAGGAAUACAUCGGAAUCUACUUUUUCGUGGGGGAUAACGUGGGAAAAUACACGAUUAUAGCGUACACGACAUAGGGGUAAAAAGAGGGGAUCCUGACAUUGUGCGCGAGUGUAUGCGGCGAUGUCGGUUUAGCUAGUUGGCGGGGUAAAGGCCCAACAAGGCGACGAUGCGUAGCUGGUCUGAGAGGAUGAUCAGCCACACUGGAACUGAGACACGGUCCAGACUCCUACGGGAGGCAGCAGUGGGGAAUAUUGGACAAUGGGCGCAAGCCUGAUCCAGCCAUACCGCGUGGGUGAAGAAGGCCUUCGGGUUGUAAAGCCCUUUUGUUGGGAAAGAAAAGCAGCAGGUUAAUACCCCGCUGUUCUGACGGUACCCAAAGAAUAAGCACCGGCUAACUUCGUG